ensembl:snRNA U2 U2 spliceosomal RNA
AUCGCUUCUUGGCCUUUUGGCUAAGAUCAAGUGUAAAAUCAUACAUAAUUAAGGCAUACAAUAUCUUUUUUGUUUGUUCAUUUUUUGAGACAGGGUCUUGCUGUGUAGUCCCGACUGGCCUUGAACUCGCUAUGUAGUCCAGGGGUUACAGGUGUGUGCCACCACGCCCAGCCCAACAUCG